UACGAAGGGGGCUAGCGUUGCUCGGAAUCACUGGGCGUAAAGCGCACGUAGGCGGGCUCUUAAGUCGGUGGUGAAAUCCUGGAGCUCAACUCCAGAACUGCCUCCGAUACUGAGAGUCUUCGAGUUCGGGAGAGGUGAGUGGAACUGCGAGUGUAGAGGUGAAAUUCGUAGAUAUCGCAAGAACACCAGUGGCGAAGGCGGCUCACUGGCCCGAUACUGACGCUGAGGUGCGAAAGCGUGGGGAGCAAACAGG
rnacentral:rRNA from 1 species